rnacentral:misc_RNA from 1 species
AACAUCGCGCACCUGCGGGAACCUGCGGAAGGAUCAUUAAUGAUUGGUGGCUGUUGCUGACUAGUGUUUCUAGUAUGUGCACGCCACACCUUCAAUCCCACUUACACCUGUGCACCUUCUGUAAUAGAUCUAUGUGGAUACGGAGAUAUGAAAGUUUGCGCUCUCGUACUCUGUUGAAGCAGUCUACUACGUUUUUUUACACACACACAAUAGUCAUUGAAUAUAUUUUUUAUUCUUAUG